GUGAAGGGGCGCCUGUCCUCCACGCCGGCGCUCUGGGAAUACGCUCAAAACUACCAACUCCGCGUUUCACUUUUUUUUUUCCUACCUGUCUCGUCUGUGCCACCUUUAAACCCAAGAAUUUUUUUUUCUCAGUGGAAGUGGGGAGACGGGAAAGAGCACGCCAGUCCUGCAGCUGCAGCCUCCUCCAGCCCGGUGCACUUACCUGCAUGGUGGAUUGCCGUAGUCAGCAGACAGUUUGUUUGAAAACUGUGAGGCCUAGAGAACGUUAAUAAGAAGAUUCGAUCAGCUGGCACCCCCCCAUCUUCCUCUGCUACGUUGUCUUAGCCCAGCUUUUGUCUUCCUCGGUUCCCGGUGUUGACUCGUGCACAUAGCUGGAACGUGGAGGUGAGCUGAGGUGUAAUCUCUAAGGGGGUUUUAACCCCUGACAGCCCUCGAACCACGUCGGUGCCGGUCCACCUCCACUGAGAGAGAUUCGUGGAAGGAGC